GUGCUUGCUUCAGUGGCACAAAUGCUAAAAUUGGAACGACACAUAGAAGAUUAGCAUGGUCCCUGCACAAGGACGACAUGCAAAUUUGUGAAGCAUUCCAUAUAUAU